GACGAACGCUGGCGGCGUGCUUAACACAUGCAAGUCGAACGAUGAAGAAGAGAAACGCGAACUUCGGUUCAAAUUUCACUUCGGAUUAGCGGCAGACGGGUGAGUAACGCGUGAGCAACCUACCUCUUACAAAGGGAUAGCCUCGGGAAACCGUGAUUAAUACCAUAUGACACAUUCAUAAGGCAUCUUAAGAAUGUUAAAGCUACGGCGGUAAGAGAUGGGCUCGCGUCCCAUUAGCUAGUUGGUGAGGUAACGGCCCACCAAGGCGACGAUGGGUAACCGGCCUGAGAGGGUGAACGGUCACAUUGGAACUGAGACACGGUCCAAACUCCUACGGGAGGCAGCAGUGGGGAAUAUUGCACAAUGGAGGGAACUCUGAUGCAGCGACGCCGCGUGAGCGAUGAAGGAAUUCGUUUCGUAAAGCUCUGUUCUAUGGGAAGAAAAGGACUGUACCAUAGGAGAAAGCCCCGGCUAAAUACGUG
rnacentral:rRNA from 1 species